rnacentral:tRNA from 1 species
GCGACUGUGCCACACUGCGAAUCGGACUACGGAUCAGAAGGUUUGGGGUUCGAAUCCCUACGGGUGCA